ensembl:lncRNA
ACACUGCCAGUACCUCUGAGUAAUCCUCUUGCUUCACGGUCGGCUGGUGAGCCGGUAAGAAGGUUCUGCUGAUCCUGGUGGACGCCGAGCGCUGAAACCCGUCCGCUACGUCCUCACAGUCAUCCGACCUCCCGCAAGGGUCGCACGCCAUCAGCUCCCCUGGGGUCUCCAGAGGGGGAGAGGGGGGGACGGAGGAGCAGAGACCCAUGGGGGUCUGGCUCCCGAGGGGGUAUUGUGAUGUUCCGUUGCAUGCCGGCGCCAUUGCAGCGUUGUCCGUGUCAACGCGUCCUCCAUGAAGGACGCCGGAGACUCCUCACUGAGGGGGUUGUUGUUGUUGUGGUUGUUGUUGCUGUGGCCGCUGACGGCUGAGCCAAGGAGACCAUCGCCACCGGAUAAGGGUCUGUGCUUCCGCUCUUUGGGUUUGGGUGGAGCUUUGGUUGGUGGAUCGCAUAGGGGUGGAUCGCACGGGGGUGGAUCGCACGGGGGUGGAUCGCACGGGGGUGGAUCGCACGGGGGUGGAUCACACAGGGGUGGAUCACACAGGGGUGGUGUUGGUGUUGGAGAAGGCUCUGAUGUGGGCUCCACAGAACAGGGCCUCUCCUGUAUCUCCAUGGAGACUGUUGUGGCCUCCAGGGAGAUUGCCCGGGGCUUAGGCCCAGGAGGCAGCGUUGGCUCACCGCCGGGGUCAAACGCUCCAUCCUCUGGUCCCAUCUCGGGGAUUAAGGAAGCUUCUGGUUUGCAGGUGAGAUCAUAUUGGGAAUUGCGGAUGGUUGUAAGGUUCAGAGUUGGUAGCGGCUCUGAAGUUUCAUCAACAUCAGCCGCGAGAGGGUAGAGAUCACAGUUCAAGGAUUCUUCAUCAUGUUGUUCAUCCGAGUCUUCAUGACACUCCUGUCCUGGAGUGUCAGGAAGAGGCUCUUCUAAGUUCUGCUGAAGUGCCCUAUGGGAACGCCGCCGGCUCCCUGAUAGAAGAUCAUCGCAGAGUUCCUGGUCGUCUGGAUCCAACGUUCCAAACGUCACGAGGGCCGAGCACUUCACCACCUUCCUGGUCCGGCUGCUCCCGGAGGCCAGCUCCUGUUUCAAACUCGUCUCCAUCCUCUCCACCUCCAUCGUCUCCUUCUGCAGCUUGUGACGAAAGGCCUGCCGCUCCUCCCUCUGACCCACCGACCCGCUGCCCGCCGAGGGAUGCUGCUCCCCGCGGUGGGCCCCCCUCCGCUUCUCCUCCAGGGUCUCCACCUGCCGUCGGAGCUUGUGGAUCUCCAGGUUCUCCUCCAGGAUCAGCUCGUCCAGGAUGUGGAUGUUCCUGAGCUCGGGGAGCAGGUCUACCCGGUCUCCUGGCAAAUCAAACCCUGAGGGAGUCCGGUCUUCGACACGGUAGCAGCUGUCCAGCAGGGACUCGGACCCAGAGGAAGGGGUCGGUGUUGGGCACCAGUCACGGGUGUGGCAGUCGGGGUAAUCGAGGUCCUCAUCCAGGCCGAGUACACCAGCUUCAGCCAGCUCACUAGCGCACAUCUGA